GCGAUUGUCACCUUCACAAAAAUUGGAACGAUUUUUUUUAGAUUAGCAUGGCCCCUGUGCAAGGAUGACACGCUUAAUUCGAGAAAUGGUCCAAAAAUUU
rnacentral:snRNA from 1 species